rnacentral:lncRNA from 1 species
GCAAUGCCACAAUGCCUUUUUUUCCCCUUAAAGUAGAAGGAAACAUAUUUACAAAAGGCGAACUGAUAACUACAAAAUUCAGCAUGAAAGUAGACAAUCCAUCAAUCCAUUUAUCAAAUGACUAGGUGUGAUUCUCAUUUUAAAGCAGUUGAAGCAGUAAUAAAUUUUGCACUAAGGAUACUAAUCCAUCUCUAUAGAACUUUAAUAAAUAAACAGCAAAUGAUCAGAUAGUCUUUGCACAGUAUUUGAAUUUGUAUUUUGUCUCAUUCUGCUGAAAACAUAAAUAACUUUAUUUUUUAUUAUAGAAGUAACUGCCAUGCCAAAGUAUGAAUUUGUCAACUCAUUUGUUAUUCCUUGAAAGAAACAAAGACUGUCACACCAAUGAAGGAACUGAGUGACAUACUGAAGACAAACUAUAUAUAAUGAGGAAAAGAAGCUUCAGAACUAUAUAAAAUCACUGACUCUCAAAUCCCAAUGGAAUUUAUAUCUAUGAAGUAUAAACUUCAUAAUUGUUUUGCAGAAGGAGGAAAGGAUUUCCAGUAACCACAAUGUAAUGUUUAUCUUUUGAACAAAUAGACUUUCUAUGUGUGAACCCAUUCACCAGCUUCUCAACAUAUGAAAUGAGCCAUCUUUCUGCUUUUGUAUUGAGACAACUCUCCCCAGGCAACUCAUGUGUGUGCUGCUGCUCCAUGACCUAUAUAGUCAGCAUCAUGACUAUGGCAAGCUGCUUUUGGCUGACCUCCUCCUUCUCAGUGUCUAUAGACCUGUCUUUCUGUCUUCCUAAGCUGCAAUCUGGUGGAAAAUGACUCACUGAGUUCACCAGAGGUAUGCCAUUGGCUUCACCAUACUUCCAGAGGGAUCCAUGACACAAAUAAAUGGCAAAGGACCCAGAUGGAGGUUGUUGUC